rnacentral:piRNA from 1 species
UAAAGAGUUAAGUGUCCAAGGGUUGUAAC